rnacentral:tRNA from 1 species
GGGCCUGUGGUCUAGCGGUUAUCUUCAUAAGACUGCAUAUGACAGCGCCCUUACAAGGCGUUAGUCCUCGGUUCAAAUGACGUAGAGGAAAACUCUUCGUCUGACUUUCCGAGCAGGCCCA